rnacentral:rRNA from 1 species
GAUGAACGCUGGCGGCGUGCCUAAUACAUGCAAGUCGAGCGAACAGAUGAGGAGCUUGCUCCUCUGACGUUAGCGGCGGACGGGUGAGUAACACGUGGAUAACCUACCUAUAAGACUGGGAUAACUUCGGGAAACCGGAGCUAAUACCGGAUAAUAUAUUGAACCGCAUGGUUCAAUAGUGGAAGACGGUUUUGCUGUCACUUAUAGAUGGAUCCGCGCCGCAUUAGCUAGUUGGUAAGGUAACGGCUUACCAAGGCAACGAUGCGUAGCCGACCUGAGAGGGUGAUCGGCCACACUGGAACUGAGACACGGUCCAGACUCCUACGGGAGGCAGCAGUAGGGAAUCUUCCGCAAUGGGCGGAAGCCUGACGGAGCAACGCCGCGUGAGUGAUGAAGGUCUUCGGAUCGUAAAACUCUGUUAUUAGGGAAGAACAAAUGUGUAAGUAACUAUGCACGUCUUGACGGUACCUAAUCAGAAAGCCACGGCUAACUACGUG